ACGAGAUUGUGUACAACAAGUUUCCAGAAAAACACUUGAAUACAUACACAAUCAUACAACAACGACUAAAGCACAAACAGUGCUGAACAUUACAAGAGCAAGCGUCACAAGUAGAAGACAUACAAGUGAAACAAAAGAGAGAUACUUAACUAUUCUAUUACAAUCAUUCUACUUGAUACAUUUAAUUACAACUUGCAUUCUUCCAAAAUAUGAACAUAAGCUUACAUUCUUCAAAAGAUAAACAUUAGUUUACAUUUAUCUCAAAAUACCUCACAUCCUAUACAUCAUCUACUCUCAAUACAUAAAAAGGUGACUCUAAUGCAGAAAUAGGAAA
rnacentral:lncRNA from 1 species